GCAAGUCUGCUUUCUAUGUCCGUGACUCCGCUUGGCAGAAAGGCUCCUUUGUGUCAUAUUUCAGAUUCCACAUAAAAGAACCCUAAAUACUCCAAUGGAAGACUUGGCAGUGAGUAUAAACAGAGUCCUCAAAAGAACUACGAAAGGGAGAGGCGGGAAUUCUCCAGCGGUUCAGUGGUCAAGACUCUGACCCCCAGCACAAGGUUGAGGGACUAAGGUCCCACAAAGUGCAAAGCGCGACCCAGACAGGGAAACGAGAGGAAAAAGAAGCUGUGGAGAGAGCGGAGUGAUGGGAUAAAGGUGCGGGUGGAGAGAAAAGGAAGAGCGCUUCAACUCUGGAAGUUCUGCUGGACAUUCAUGCAGUCUUUCCCAGCAUCAGGGAGUCAGCCAGUGACUCAGCUCUUGGCAUCAGGUGGCCAGAAUAUUGGAGCUUCAGCGUCAGCAUCAGCCCUUCCAGUGAAUAUUCAGAGCUGAUUUUCUUUAGGAUGGACUGGUUUGAUCUCCUUGCUGUUCAAGGGACUCAGGAAUCUUCUCUAGUGCCCUUCGAAAGCUUGUACACACUUCUUACUGAAUGUGAAAUUGUGAGAAAUGCUUAGUUUCCUGAUUACUAGGCUGUGAUGCGCCUCUUCCACAAAAUGUGACCUCCCCGGUUCGCUUCUUGGGUCAGGAAGAUCCUCUGGAGAAAGGAUGGUCUACCCACUCCAGCAUUCUUGGGCUUCCCUGUGGCUCAGCUGAUAAAGAAUCCUCCCGAAAUGUGGAGACCUGGG
ensembl:lncRNA